rnacentral:rRNA from 1 species
AACGAACGCUGGCGGCGUGGCUAAGGCAUGCAAGUCGAGCGGACCUAUUCAAAGGGUAACUGGAGGAUAGGUUAGCGGCGGACGGGUGAGGAAUACAUGGAUAACGUACCCCGGACACAGGGAUAGCGGCGGGCCGCAAGGUCCUUUGCGAAAGUGCCGGUAAUACCUGAUGACCCCCGUAGGAUCGCAUGAUCCCGCGGGCAAAGCUCCGACGGUCUGGGAUCGGUUCAUGUCCUACAGCUAGUUGGCGGGGUAACGGCCCACCAAGGCGGCGACGGGUACCGGGUGUGAGAGCAUGACCCGGCACAUCGGAACUGAGACACGGUCCGGACACCUACGGGUGGCUGCAGCAACGAAUAUUCCGCAAUGGACGAAAGUCUGACGGAGCGACGCCGCGUGCAGGAAGAAGUCCCUCGGGAUGUAACUGCUGUCAGGGGUGAGAACACAAUGACCAGCCCCAGAGGAAGUACCGGCUAACUCCGUGCCACGCCG